rnacentral:rRNA from 1 species
CAGGGCCGGGCCCUGAUCUAGCCUGCCGCGUGUGUGAUGAAAGGCCUUAGGGUCGUAAAGCUCUUUCGCCAGGGAUGAUAAUGACAGUACCUGGUAAAGAAACCCCGGCUAACUCCGUGCCAGCAGCCGCGGUAAUACGGAGGGGGUUAGCGUUGUUCGGAAUUACUGGGCGUAAAGCGUACGUAGGCGGAUCAGAAAGUUAGGGGUGAAAUCCCAGGGCUCAACCCUGGAACUGCCUUUAAAACUCCUGGUCUUGAGUUCGAGAGAGGUGAGUGGAAUUCCAAGUGUAGAGGUGAAAUUCGUAGAUAUUUGGAGGAACACCAGUGGCGAAGGCGGCUCACUGGCUCGAUACUGACGCUGAGGUGCGAAAGUGUGGGGAGCAAACAGGAUUAGAUACCCUGGUAGUCCACACCGUAAACGAUGAAUGCCAGUCGUCGGGCAGUAUACUGUUCGGUGACACACCUAACGGAUUAAGCAUUCCGCCUGGGGAGUACGGUCGCAAGAUUAAAACUCAAAGGAAAUUGACGGA